rnacentral:misc_RNA from 1 species
GAAAUGCGAUACGUAGUGUGAAUUGCAGAAUUCCGUGAAUCAUCGAAUCUUUGAACGCAUAUUGCGGUCGAGGCUUCGGCUGAGACCAUGUCUGCCUCAGCGUCGGAGUAAACCCUCACCCCCCUUUGACACCAGUCCUAGAGGGGUGGAGCUGGUCUCCCCAGCGCCCUGCAUAGGGCUCUGGGUUGGCUGAAAUGCAGAGGCACGCGCACGGACCUGUAUGGCACCAGCAAGGUAGGUAGCUCGUCUACUCCAGCUGGCGCUUUGGGCCCGCUGCCGUGCCCGCAGGAAUCACUCCCUAUCGACCUGAGAUCAGGCAAGGCUACCCGCUGAACUUAAGC